CACCGGNGACGGGUGAGUAUGCUAGGAAUCUGCCUGGUAGUGGGGGAUAACUCGGGGAAACUCGAGCUAAUACCGCAUACGUCCUACGGGAGAAAGUGGGGGAUCUUCGGACCUCACGCUAUCAGAUGAGCCUAGGUCGGAUUAGCUAGUUGGUGAGGUAAAGGCUCACCAAGGCGACGAUCCGUUAACUGGUCUGAGAGGAUGAUCAGUCACACUGGAAACUGAGACACGGUCCNGACUCCNUACGGGGAGGCAGCNAGUGGGGGGUAAUAUUGGGACAAUGGGCGGAAAGCCUGAUCCAGCCAAUGCCGCGGUGUGUGCAAGAAAGGUCUUUCGGGAUUGNUAAAAAGCNCUUUUUAAGUUUGGGGGAAGGNAAGGGGCCAGNUUAAAGUUUAAAUUNCCCUUGGCCUGGUUUUUUUGGACCGUUUACCCAAACCAGGNAANUAAAAGCCCACC
rnacentral:rRNA from 1 species